rnacentral:rRNA from 1 species
GACGAACGCUGGCGGCGCGCUUAACACAUGCAAGUCGAGCGAUAACCAUGGCUUCGGCCAUGGGGAGAGCGGCGAACGGGUGAGUAACACGUGAGUGAUCUGCCCUCGACACCGGGAUAGCCCGGGGAAACACGGAUUAAUACCGGCUGGCCUUUCGAGCCCACGGGCCCGUCCGAAACGCUGGCUUCGGCUUUCGGUCGAGGUGGAGCUUGCGGCGGAUUAGCUUGUUGGGGGGGUAACGGCUCCCCAAGGCGAGGAUCCGUAGCUGGUCUGAGAGGACGAUCAGCCACACUGGGACUAAGACACGGCCCAGACUCCUACGGGAGGCAGCAGUGGGGAAUCUUGCGCAAUGGGCGAAAGCCUGACGCGGCGACGCCGCGUGAGGGAAGAAGGCCUUCGGGUUGUAAACCUCUUUCAGGAGGGACGAAGCCACUCGGGUUAAUAGCCCAGAGGGUGACGGUACCUCCAGAAGAAGCCCCGGCUAACUACGUGCCAGCAGCCGCAGUAACAC